CUACGGGCGGCUGCAGUGAGGAAUAUUGCACAAUGGGGGGAACCCUGAUGCAGCAACGCCGCGUGGAGGAUGACGCAUUUCGGUGUGUAAACUCCUUUUAUAUGUCAAGAAAAUGACGGUAGCAUAUGAAUAAGCACCGGCUAACUCCGUGCCAGCAGCCGCGGUAAUACGGAGGGUGAAAGCGUUACUCGGAAUCACUUGGCGUAAAGGACGCGUAGGCGGGUUGGAAAGUCAGGUGUGAAAUCCUACAGCUUAACUGUAGAACUGCACUUGAAACUUCUAAUAUAGAGUAUGGGAGGGGGAGAUGGAAUUAGUGGUGUAGGGGUAAAAUCCGUAGAUAUCACUAGGAAUACCUAAAGCGAAGGCGAUCUCCUGGAACAUUACUGACGCUAAGGCGUGAAAGCGUGGGGAGCAAACAGGAUUAGAUACCCGAGUAGUC
rnacentral:rRNA from 1 species